rnacentral:rRNA from 1 species
CGCGUACAAUGUGUUCCGUUCAGUUGACUCGAUGACGAGAGCAACCUACAGGUGGCGUCCCUGUUAGAGGUGGCGUCGAUGACGAGAGCAAAAGAGGGGAGUGUCGGCGAGGAGAGAGGGAGUCCGAGAAUCGGUGAGGAGAGGUACCGCGGAGGGGAAGGGAGCUGCAGCAGGCCGGGGAGGAGAAGGGCGGUGCCGCAACUGGCUGGGGAGGAGAGGGGUGGAGCUCGCUCGGGUGCGCGGGCGGCCAUAUCGUAGGACACAUCGGUCUAGGCCGGCCAGCCACGUCUUCCCAAGCGGCGAGAGGCAAGCACGGCCUAUGGGUCGACCGGGCAGGCCUACACCCGCCCUGCUGUAGCCCGUGUCGAAACGCCGCGCCGCUCCUUCUCUUUGCGGCGGGAGCAGCAACCGAGGCCAGAAGAUGGGUCGACUCGUGGCCUCGUAUCAGCGCGACGGCGCGCCAGCUAGACGUACUGCUCCGGUAAGGUCCGGCUAAGGCCACGCUUCCACACGUAUGGCAACGCGCCUCCCGCUGGUGUGGUCGCUGUGCUGGAAGACGAGUGGCAUAGCGACGUGUCGUACGGAUACCAUCUUAGUUUCAACUACUGGCCACACCAUACCUCGAUCUACUCUGACUGAACCGACAGACCGAAUUCAACCUCCGACGUUGCCUUCUCAAGUAAGUCUUUUUUUAUGUCCGAAAUUUCUACAAACACUCAAAGAUCAAGGUUCUAUAGUUCUCCUUCUGUUCAGAAGAUCUUAACAGUUUAGGGACAGUAAAAGUUCUAACUCAAGUAGUUUAAGUCCAUACGCUGCUACCCGUAAGACUCGAUUAGGGGACGAACCUAUCCUUAAACUAAUAGUCUGUUCCAACUUCUACCUAAAUUUUGACUACCUCGUAGUACUCGUAGUAACGGGAUGAAUACUCUCUGCGAAAUUAACGGACUAAGGUGGCGGUGUUCCGAUAUCCCCAAAGCGUCUUUUUCUUAUAGUUUGCCUUACUUUGGAAGCCCUUGCACUAAAAACCUUGCUUGUACUAAGUCUCCUGAACCUGGGAUGCAGUUCGUUAGUUGCUCCUCCCGUGCUCCAUCCUCCCGCGCGGAUGGGGGGACCGCGCGGGAGGUGGGAGCACCCGGGGGACAAUGAGGUGGCUGUAUGAGGAAGGAGGAUAUAUAUGGAUGCAUGGAGGUUUGAUGGUCUAUGCCUCGGUUUUGGGAUUAAGGUGGCGACAUUGAAAGACAUAAGUGCUCUAGGGUAGAACCCCGGAAAAGGCCUCGAGGCGGCCUCCCCCGUAGCUAGUGCCUCCCGAAGAUGUAGUUGUGGUAUCGGAGAGGCUACUUCACACUCAUCAAAUGAAGUCUGGAUGCCCAGGUAUCAAUAAUCGAUCUACCGAAGAAGAGAGAAAAACCUAGAGUUAUGUUUCAAGUGAGGUAGAGAACACCUCUAGAUAAGCUACAUUAGAUGAAAACGCCACACAAACAACUCUGGCUACUUAACACCCAAAUACUAGUUCAAAUAGA